UUCUGGCUCAGGAUGAACGCUAGCUACAGGCUUAACACAUGCAAGUCGAGGGGCAUCAUGGAGUUGCUUGCAAACUCUGAUGGCGACCGGCGCACGGGUGAGUAACGCGUAUCCAACCUUCCCUAUAGUAGAGGAUAGCCCGGCGAAAGUCGGAUUAAUACUCUAUGUUUUCCGUUGCAGACAUCUAAGAUGGAACAAAGGCUUGCCGCUAUAGGAUGGGGAUGCGUCUGAUUAGGUAGUCGGCGGGGUAACGGCCCACCGAGCCUUCGAUCAGUAGGGGUUCUGAGAGGAAGGUCCCCCACAUUGGAACUGAGACACGGUCCAAACUCCUACGGGAGGCAGCAGUGAGGAAUAUUGGUCAAUGGGCGCGAGCCUGAACCAGCCAAGUAGCGUGCAAGGAUGACGGCCCUAUGGGUUGUAAACUGCUUUUAUGCGGGGAUAAAGUUCACUACGUGUAGUGUUUUGUAGGUACCGCAUGAAUAAGGACCGGCUAAUUCCGUGCCAGCAGCUGC
rnacentral:rRNA from 1 species